GCAGGAGAGCGGCUGCUCCGUAUCUGUCAGGCGCCGGUACUGGCGGGACUCACCGUGCAGGGGCGCGCAAAAGGAGGCGGAGGAGGUCUCGUGCAGGAAGCGGAUUGCCGGUGACGUGCGCCCCGGUACCCCCCACCUAGCAACCGCUCCUGCGCGCAUGCGCCCCUGCCUCCGGCUCAGUCCCCGUCCCCCCGGCCGGCACACACACAGGCAGACAGACAGGGGAAGGGGAAGAAGGGCAUGCGAGGAGGAAGGUGGACUGCGGCCGCCCCCUCCGCGUUUUCCGCUCCUCCCUGGCCGCAUCCUCUGACUCCAGGCUGGUGGCGUUGGUCAUGCCGAUCCUCGGACUAUUCUCCUUGACUUGACUCCGCUGCUGGCAGUAUCCAUGGAAGAGCCCGGAGUGCUCUUUUUACAGUAACUUGGCUCUGAGCUACACUUUGCGUGUUCCAUCUAAGGAGGAAAUAAGCCAUGCACACUCAUUUCUUGACAAGGUCGUCUGAGAUAUUCAGAAAACUAUAUACUACGAAUAUCUUGUCUAAAGCAUGAAUUGUUCAAGGACAUGCAACACCAGAUGUAUCCGAUGUGUCCAAGGCUAGUCAGGAAGAUCGGGAAGAAUGUUUUCAGCAUAUGUCCGAGAGACUGAUAAUCACAAAGCAAUAAACUAUAUUCAAGAAUGUUCUAAUUGCUAAUUAGAAUCUUGUAUGACAAUUGAUGUAUUUCAGGUUCUGAGACAUACAUGGUGUAUUCUGAUUGGCUAAAUGUAUUGGCAAGCAUGAUUCCUAUGUCUUUAAGCUAUAAAAAUAAACCUGUAACGGCCCCUAAAGCAGGUCAGCUAUAGUCUGCUUAGGUUACACAUAAUCCUGUGUCAUCUUUUCAUUCACUGACCUCUAACCGGUUGCUAAAGGAACAGAAUUCUGACUGAUUACUGAAGAGAGUUAAUUUACCAGACCUGAACAGGUUAAAAUACCCUAACAUUUUUGGGAGCAUCGUCCGGGGAUUUUCCAGCAUCUCCUCCACUGGCAACAAAUCCUCUGAUCUUUCAGGAACCGCUGAUAAAAAAACCGGUAAGUGAGAUUUAAUGUGUAGAUUUCUACCUGCUCACUUGACUCAGCGCUUCUUGAAUGGAUCUGGGGAAGUCCAGUUGGGAAGAUCAGAGAAUAUCUUAAAGAGCCCAGUGUCAGUCAGAAGAAAUUUUUUUAAGGUUCCAUACAUGUAUGUCAUAUUGUUAAAUUGUGGGUAAAUAUCUUCAGCUAAUUUGUCACAAGUGUACAGGGGGAAUUAAUCAAAUAUCUAGGAAACUUUUACAUUUUUAAAAGGUGGCGUAUGGCCAAGGUGUAUUCUAAUGCUGAUAAACAGUUUGAAUUGAUAAAUAACCAAAGAGGUGUAUGCAAAUCUUGUACCUGUGUUGUUGUGUUAAGAAAAUACAAAGGAUCCGUAGCACCGAGAUUGGUGGCAAUUACAAGCACUGAAGUCUCAUUUGGUUAUGUGGAAAAUGAUGAUGAAUUUUAUUGUACAAUAGGUUGUCAUUUAAAAAAGGGAAUUGUUGGAACAUUACAUUGAGAAUGAUUGGUCUAACAUCAUAACCUAUUGGCCUAGGAACCACAUAAUCCCAGGUCUAAGACCCAUUUGCCCGUACAGCCUCAAACAGCUGCCGUGCACACAGAUAACAGACAUAGCAGUAAGAGGGUAUCCAGAAGACAGAAAAACCAGAUAUAAG